UUUCUCCCGUUUGGGGCGGCGAGGGCGGGGCUAGAGCGGCAAUAAGUUGGGUUGGGUGGCGUGCCUUCGUCUUUGCUCGCCGUGGCUUCCAGGAUCAGUUCCAGUUAUUCUCCUUGUGUACAGAAGGUGCUGGAAAUAAAGAAUAGCUCUCCUUUACGGCUUCUUAGCCACCCUCUGGUGAACUGAAGAGGACCUGUUCCUGAGUAAACAUGCUUAAGAAUCAACU